UCCCCUUGGCAAUUGGCCAAGUAACACCUUAUUUGUGCUGUUGUUCUUACGUCAGUCAGGGCAGAGCAGAUGGCAGUCCUUAGUUCAUCCUAGCUUGAUGAGUGGUUUGGUAGCCAAAGCUAUCUUAUACCUAGGAUACAUAU